rnacentral:rRNA from 1 species
CCUACGGGUGGCAGCAGUGGGGAAUAUUGGACAAUGGGGGCAACCCUGAUCCAGCCAUGCCGCGUGUGUGAAGAAGGCCCUCGGGUUGUAAAGCACUUUCAGUGAGGAAGAACGCCUGGUGGUUAAUACCCAUCAGCAUAGACAUCACUCACAGAAGAAGCACCGGCUAACUCCGUGCCAGCAGCCGCGGUAAUACGGAGGGUGCGAGCGUUAAUCGGAAUUACUGGGCGUAAAGCGCGCGUAGGUGGCUUGAUAAGCCGGUUGUGAAAGCCCCGGGCUCAACCUGGGAACGGCAUCCGGAACUGUCAAGCUAGAGUGCAGGAGAGGAGGGUAGAAUUCCCGGUGUAGCGGUGAAAUGCGUAGAGAUCGGGAGGAAUACCAGUGGCGAAGGCGGCCUUCUGGACUGACACUGACGCUGAGGUGCGAAAGCGUGGGUAGCAAACAGGAUUAGAUACCCGAGUAGUC